rnacentral:rRNA from 1 species
AGUGAACGCUGGCGGUAUGCCUAAUACAUGCAAGUCGAACGGCAGCACAGUAAGAUCUCGCUCUUACGGGUGGCGACUGGCGGGCGAGUGAGGAAUACAUAGGCAUCUACUUUUACUUGGGGGAUAACGGAGAGAAACUUACGCUAAUACCGCAUACUACCUACGGCUGAAAUCAGAGGAUCUUCGCACCUUGGGUGACUCUAUUAGCUGAUUCCGUGCUGCAUUAGCUAGUUGGUAAGGUAACGGCAUACCAAGGCAACGAUGCAUAGCCGGUCUGAGAGGAUGAUCAGCCACACUGGAACUGAGACACGGUCCAGACUCCUACGGGAGGCAGCAGUAGGGAAUAUUGGACAAUGGGCGAAAGCCUGACCCAGCAACACCGCGUGAGUGAAGAAGGUCUUCGGGUUGUAAAACUCUUUUAUUGGGAAAGAAAAGAUGCGGAAGAAUACGCCGAUGUCCUGACGGUACCUAAACAGUAAGCAACGGCUAACUUCGUG